CUUGUAAUGGACUGUGUCCACGGGGCUAUGCGGAGGCAUCACGGGAGACUCCAGCAGACCUUUCAACGCAAAUGCAUCGAAUUGAAAUUUCAAUUCAUUCAACUGACCAAGAAAUAGCACAAGAUUUUUUGGGGCGGGUUACCGAGAUCAUUUGGUCGAAAUCAUAACAGAGCACUGAUCUAAAAAUUAUAAGAAAAAAAGACUAAAUGGCUUAUUAGCCACCAAAGCUGAAGUCGCCAUCUGCCAUCUUGAUCCUCCCAAAACAAGCAUGCCGACCUGUGCGUUGAUCGCCAGUUUUGUGCCUGUGAGAAAACAUUCCACAGGUGCCCUGCGAUUGGCUGACAACCAGUUGAGGGUGUGGCGGGCCCUCUGCCCAAUGACAGCUCCAGCACUCCCGCGACCCUUGUGAGGAUAAGCUGCUCAGAAGAUGGAGCAGCCGGAAGGGUUGGGGGGCCCUGUGAGGCCGACCCCGACCCCAGCACUUUCAGUCCUCUUCGUCCAACAACGUCGGCUUGCGGAAGCGUCGGGAUCACACCGCGAACACGCUGAGGGAGCUGCACUCGUCUUUCAGGCCCAGGAUGCUGGUUUUGCAAACAGCCGACGCGAAGGAAGGCGUCCCGAGUUCGGACUCACUCGUGCCUCAGGGCCAGGACCUGCUCCAUGGUGGAGACGCCCGCCCGGGCGAAGCUUUCGUUGUACUGGCUCA